rnacentral:rRNA from 1 species
UACAGAGGGUGCAAGCGUUAAUCGGAAUUACUGGGCGUAAAGCGUGCGUAGACGGUUAUGUAAGUCGGGUGUGAAAGCCCCGAGCUUAACUCGGGAAGUGCACAAGAAACUGUUGAAUUUGAGUUCCGGAGAGGAAGGCAGAAUUCCCGGUGUAGCGGUGAAAUGCGUAGAUAUCGGGAGGAAUACCAGUGGCGAAGGCGGCCUUCUGGACGGAUACUGACGCUGAGGCGCGAAAGCCAGGGGAGCAAAGCGGGG